GUCGUCUUUGGAAAUUAUUACAAAGUUCAGCUGGAAGUCUCCUUCUCCCUGUGGACCUUCCCCAAUUCCACUGGCUGCCCUCCUCAAGGACCCCUGUUCUCCAGGGCCGAUGUAUGUUUGGAGAUGGAUUUCCCCCUCUCACACUUCAGGCACUCAGUUUUUUGGCAGUCUCAUGGAGUUUUCAGUGGCAAGCCGCUUAUUUCAAAUGGGAUUUGGAAAGGAUUCCGUGAUGGUUAAUAUUGAGUGUCAACUUGAUUGGAUUGAAGGAUGCAAAGUAUUGUUCCUGGGUGUGUCUGUGAGGGUGUCACCAAAGGAGAUGAACAUUUGAAUCAGUGAGCUGGGAGACACAAACCCAUACUCAAUCUUGGGGGACACCAUCUAAUCAGCUGCCAGUGCAACUAGGAUAAAAUCAGGCAGAGAAAUUUGGAAAGACUAGACUGGCUGAGUCUUCUGGCCUUCAUCUUUCUCCCAUGCUAGAUGCUUCCUGACCUCGAAUAUCAGACUCCAAGUUCUUUAGCUUUUGGACUCUUGGACCUUUGGCCACAGACGGAAGGCUGCACUUUUGAAGUUUUGGGACUUGGACUGGCUUCCUUGCUCCUCAGCUUACAGAUGGCCUAUUGUGGGACUUCACCUUGUGAUUGUGAUUUCAAACCUUCUGGGUUUCUUCCCAGCGCUAAAUCCUGUCGACUGGAUUCACUAGGAUGAAUAGAGAAAGAAGUGUUACAUUUUAAGAUAAUUUCUUUUCUAAACACACAGAAAGGUGACCCAAGUCUGGAUGUAAAUGUGUUUUUAGGCAACUUCCACGUGGAAAGAGGUACUCAUCAAGUUUAGCUGAAUAGUCUUGUGAUUCACAGCUUGUCUUUUGAGAAGAGUGGAGGAAAUCGUGUCAUUUAUCAUGGGUAAUUCCAGUAUGGCUCACACUAUCAAUCUCUCUGACAAUCUCCUCAACAACUCGAAGACCAAUCUGUGGCUGGAAACUGUCCAGGUGAUAAGCAUCAGGAUGCUGUGGGCCAGGCCUGCUACAACACCUGCUCUAAAGUCAGAUGUACCAU
rnacentral:lncRNA from 1 species